GUGCUCACUUGGCAGCACAUAUGCUAAAAUUGGAACGAUAUAGAGAAAAUUAGCAAGGUCCUUGCGCAAGGAUGACACGCAAAUUUAUGAAGCGUUCCAUAUUUAA